rnacentral:rRNA from 1 species
CUUGGUCAUUUAGAGGAAAAAGUCGUAACAAGGUCUCCGUAGGUGAACCUGCGGAGGGAUCAUUAACGAGUUAGGGCCUCUGUGCCCGACCUCCAACCCUCUUGUAUCGAAAAACCUCGUUGCCUCGGGGGCGGCCCUGCCUCACGGCGGGCACCCCGGAGGACCACUCAAACACUGCAUUUCAAUGUCGUCUGAGUAAAGAUUUAAAUGAAAUCAAAACUUUCAACAACGGAUCUCUUGGUUCUGGCAUCGAUGAAGAACGCAGCGAAAUGCGAUAAGUAAUGUGAAUUGCAGAAUUCAGUGAAUCAUCGAAUCUUCGAACGCAUAUUGCGCCCCUUGGUAUUCCUUGGGGCACACCUGUUCGAGCGUCAUUUCACCAAUCAAGCCUCGCUUGGUGUUGGGCGAUGCGCAAGCCGCACGCCUCAAAUGCCCCGGCCGAGCAGUCUCUCCCCCGGCGUCGUGGAAACAUACCGCUACGGGGACGCGACCUGCGCGUGCCGCAACAAGACCUUCCCUCUCUAAGGUUGACCUCGGAUCAGGUGGGGAUACCCGCUGAACUUAAGCAUAUCAAUAAGCGGAGGAAAAGAAACCAACAGGGAUUGCCCUAGUAACGGCGAGUGAAGCGGCAACAGCUCAGAUUUGAAAUCUGGCGUCUUUGGCGUCCGAGUUGUAAUCUGUAGAGGAUGCUUUUGGGUAGCCACCGGUCUAAGUCCCCUGGAACGGGGCGUCACAGAGGGUGAGAAUCCCGUAUGUGACCGGAAGGGCGCCCUCUACAUAGCUCCUUCGACGAGUCGAGUUGUUUGGGAAUGCAGCUCUAAAUGGGAGGUAAAUUCCUUCUAAAGCUAAAUACCGGCCAGAGACCGAUAGCGCACAAGUAGAGUGAUCGAAAGAUGAAAAGCACUUUGGAAAGAGAGUUAAAAAGCACGUGAAAUUGUUGAAAGGGAAGCGCUUGCAACCAGACUUGUUGGCGGUGUUCCGCCGGUCUUCUGACCGGUUUACUCACCGUCUGCAGGCCAGCAUCAUCUGGGGCCGCUGGAUAAAAGCGAGGGGAAUGUGGCUCCCCCGGGAGUGUUAUAGCCCCUCGUGCAAUACAGCGAGCCUCGGGUGAGGUCCGCGCUUCGGCUAGGAUGCUGGCGUAAUGGUCGUAAGCGGCCCGUCUUGAAACACGGACC